UGGGGAAUAUUGGGCAAUGGGCGAAAGCCUGACCCAGCGACGCCGCGUGGGUGAUGAAGGCCUUCGGGUUGUAAAACCCUUUCGUGCGGAAAGAAUAGUCCUGUAGCGAAUAACUACGGGAUUUGACGGUACCGCAGGAAGAAGCACCGGCUAACUCCGUGCCAGCAGCCGCGGUAAUACGGAGGGUGCAAGCGUUGUUCGGAAUUAUUGGGCGUAAAGGGCGCGUAGGUGGUUGUGAUAGUCAGAUGUGAAAUCCUUCGGCUCAACCGAAGAACUGCAUCUGAAACUUCAUAGCUCGAGUACAGGAGAGGGAAACGGAAUUCCCGGUGUAGAGGUGAAAAGCGUAGAUAUCGGAAGGAACACCAGUGGCGAAGGCGGUUUCCUGGCCUGAUACUGACGCUGAGGCGCGAAAGCGUGGGGAGCAAACAG
rnacentral:rRNA from 1 species